AGGAAAGGGACACAGCGAUCGACCCGGGGAUCUCCCAGUAGAUCGUGAUUGACCUGUUGGACAUCCCUGGUAUAGAGCAAUUCAAGACAAAAUCUGUAGUUUGGCCAUUGCCCUCGAGAACCUUGAAGUACGUGAUGAAAAUCAAGCAGUGGCUCUAAGACCACGAAAGACAGCACUUGUUACCUCAUACUCUGAGCUCUUGUUCUCCAGAGGCCUUAGGUAUCAAAACAUCCCAUGGGACCUGUGUCAAAUAUCAUCAUCAUCAUCCUUUUUAUUCGACCGUCAGUCAGAAAAAAGUACAUUUUGUCAAUACACAGUUAAAAACAUCCAGGAAGAUUUUAAAACUUAGCCAACACUAAAAUGGGCUAAACAGAUAGCCCCAUAUCAAUACAGUCAAUUAUAGUCUUGCGACGCUUAAAGGCUAAGAAGAGAAAUUUGGCCACCAAGGAAGGUAUAGCUCUAGUGGCGUUAUUCAGCAAGUGUAAAGCCUGGUUUUCUCCGGGUAGGAGGCUGAAUUGACAUAGGAGUCAAAUAUCUAAAGGAUCUACUACUCCCUUCCCAUCGAUGAGCUUUUAUGCUUGCGAGACUAAAUGCUUUCCCCUCCUCAGUCACCAAAGGCAGAUUCUCACACAUUCCAUUUCAAGCCCGUAUGUGUGCCUGCAAUCAAGAAGUACCUGAUUCAAUGGACCACAUUCUCUUAGAUUGUCCUUUACACAGCAGACCUCGCCAGCUGAUGCUGAGCAAAAUGUUGGACAUUCGGCCCACAACUCUGAGAAGAAGCCAAAUAAGGUUUCUCCUGGCAGAUUGGGACAAAGACAUUACUGCUUUAGUAGCUUCCCUUUUAGCCACAGUUUUACCCGAAAGGUAAAACUAUCCUUUCGGGAAACAGUCAUGGCAUAGCAGAAUAUCCAAAUGCACACCAUAGUGUGACCCUUGAUAGCUUCACCCUUGCCUUUCUAAUUAUUCCAGUUACACGAAAUGUUUUAUACUGUGAUGCCAAUAAAGGUACCUGAUUGAUUGAUUGAACACACCCUCCAACCCCAAGACUUCUAUAUUGGCAAAACCUAUCUGGUGUUUCGCAACUUUCUGAUUAGUUGCAGGACCUUAGCCAGACCUAGCAUAGUACACGCAGAAUCCACAGAAGCAAUUGGCGACUUGGCUGCUGACAGGAUAGACGAAGCAGGAACCAGGAACUUGUAGUUAGGUGUUUAUUAUAUACAGUGGACUAUUUACAGGAACAGAACACAGAUCUUUAGCUAGCUCUCUCUGACACGACUCACAACUCCUACACUCACUGACACAGAACAACUGAACCCAAACUCUGAACUACCAGUUAGUAGGCCAUUAAUUAUCACUCCCUUGAGAGAGCUUGACUAAUCAGGGAGCGGUCUCCAUGUCUCUGUUAUCACCAGGCAGACUUACUCCUUCAGAUUGCCUUCUGGCUGUCUGCCAAACCUUAAUUGACUCUGUGUGAGUAGCUGCACAUACACAGUUUCUCAACAUCUUAUAUGUGUGAGCAGGCUCCUGGUGUCCUCCUACUAGGGAAGGCUUUUCAUGCAGCAGUAUUUCACCUUGCUGAAUUCAAGAGCAGCAGUUCUGGUUAUGUUAAAUCAAUUUUAAGUUCCCUUGUUUUGCCAGAAGACCAGCAUUUGGAGAACAGCUUCACAUAUCACAUUUUAAACCAGACUCCUUUUAAGAUGCUGAGAGGUCCAGCAUCUGAAAUUCACUUCCUUCUGACUGCAGCAUGUGUCAAUGUCAUUCCUCUUCUCUCGGUUGGCAAAAAAACCUUCCCUAAAUAUGCUUAUCAUCC